rnacentral:rRNA from 1 species
UACGUAGGUGACAAGCGUUGUCCGGAUUUACUGGGCGUAAAGAGCGCGCAGGCGGUCGAUCAAGUCGAGUGUGAAAGCCCCCGGCUCAACUGGGAGGGUCAUUCGAUACUGAUCGACUCGAAGGCAGGAGAGGGUAGUGGAAUUCCCGGUGUAGUGGUGAAAUGCGUAGAUAUCGGGAGGAACACCAGUGGCGAAGGCGACUACCUGGCCUGUUCUUGACGCUGAGGCGCGAAAGCUAGGGGAGCAAACGGGG